rnacentral:rRNA from 1 species
UACGGAGGGUGCAAACGUUGCUCGGAAUCAUUGGGCGUAAAGCGCACGUAGGCGGCGCGUUAAGUCGGAUGUGAAAGCCCCGGGCUCAACCUGGGAAUGGCGCGCGAGACGGGGGGGGCUGGAGUUCGGGAGAGGAGCGUGGAAUUCCCAGUGUAGAGGUGAAAUUCGUAGAUAUUGGGAAGAACACCGGUGGCGAAGGCGGCGCUCUGGACCGAGACUGACGCUGAGG